UACGGAGGAUGCGAGCGUUAUCCGGAUUUAUUGGGUUUAAAGGGUGCGUAGGCGGACGCUUAAGUCAGCGGUAAAAUUGCGGGGCUCAACCUCGUCGAGCCGUUGAAACUGGGUGUCUUGAGUGGAAGAGAAGUAUGCGGAAUGCGUGGUGUAGCGGUGAAAUGCAUAGAUAUCACGCAGAACCCCGAUUGCGAAGGCAGCAUGCCGGCUUCCUACUGACGCUGAAGCACGAAAGCGUGGGGAUCGAACAGG
rnacentral:rRNA from 1 species